rnacentral:tRNA from 1 species
GUUUUAAUAGUUUAAAAAAAACAUUGGUUUUGUAUACCAAAUUUAAGUUAUUUAACUUUUAAAACU